GUGCUUGCUUCGGUGGCACACACUGAAAAUCGGAAGGAUACAGAGAAGAUUAGCAUGGCCCCUGCCCAAGGAUGACAUGCAAAUUAGUGAAGCGUUCCAUAUUUUU